rnacentral:tRNA from 1 species
GGAAUGUGGCUCAGUGUUAGAGAGCUUGCCUGGCAUGCAUGAGGACCUGGGUUUGAUCCCCAGCACCA